UGGGGGAAUAUUGCACAAUGGGCGAAAGCCUGAUGCAGCAACGCCGCGUGAGUGAUGAAGGUCUUCGGAUUGUAAAGCUCUGUCUUUUGGGACGAUAAUGACGGUACCAAAGGAGGAAGCCACGGCUAACUACGUGCCAGCAGCCGCGGUAAUACGUAGGUGGCGAGCGUUGUCCGGGUUUACUGGGCGUAAAGGGUGCGUAGGCGGAUGUUUAAGUGAGAUGUGAAAUACCCGGGCUUAACUUGGGUGCUGCAUUUCAAACUGGAUAUCUAGAGUGCAGGAGAGGAGAAUGGAAUUCCUAGUGUAGCGGUGAAAUGCGUAGAGAUUAGGAAGAACACCAGUGGCGAAGGCGAUUCUCUGGACUGUAACUGACGCUGAGGCACGAAGGCGUGGGUAGCAAACAGGAUUAGAUACCCUGGUAGUCCACGCCGUAAACGAUGAGUACUAGGUGUAGGAGGUAUCGACCCCUUCUGUGCCGCAGUAAACACAUUAAGUACUCCGCCUGGGAAGUACGAUCGCAAGAUUAAAACUCUAAAGUGAAUUGAC
rnacentral:rRNA from 1 species